AGCUUUGCGCAGUGGCAGUAUCGUAGCCAAUGAGGUUAAUCCGAGGCGCGAUUAUUGCUAAUUGAAACUUACCCAUUCCAGAAAGCAGGAAGAGUUAGUAGGAAAAAUGAAACUUAACUUGGGUAAUCACACAUUUGA
rnacentral:snRNA from 1 species